CCCUUGGCUUUCUUAAAAGCCAUCCCCUUCCCCUUAUAAUAAAUUU
rfam:Sus scrofa isolate TJ Tabasco breed Duroc chromosome 1, whole genome shotgun sequence.